ensembl:lncRNA uncharacterized LOC109059551
CAUUUGCUAUGUGGGGGAUGGAAUGAGCGAAAAAAAAAAGAAACCUGCACAAGUACUUAUCUACACGGUACAAGAUUUCAUCAAUGAAGGUUAAAUUUCAAUUGACUAAAGUCCACUGAUAAGUUGUACAUACUAAGUAUCUAAUACUUUCAGUAUUGCCGAAGGUUUGUGUGACUUUCCAUUAAUUAUUCUUUUGAGACUAUCCAAAAGACAAAAGGAAGUCAAAGAGGACAUUGAGGCUAUAAAGAAGUGCACGCAAAGGUCUGAUGAGGAACUGCAACAGUGGGUCAUUGAUGUGACACAGUGGGCAGUUGACAGUAAGUAUGUACUUGUUGCUGUCUCCUAUCGAUAGAAUUUUUUUUUUUUUUUCUAUAGAUAGAAAAAUGUGAGUUGUUUUUUGUUUUUUUACGACAGUGUUGUGAAAUAUACUCCUCACAGCAGUAGGGGGAGCUCGCUGAGAAAACAUGCGACAACAAAAGUGAAAAUCAACGAAGAAAUGGCUCGAAAUGCUAAGUUAAUAAUUAAACUUGGGUGAUGUAGCAUUCUCCCUCAAAUUUAUAAUACGUACUCACCCUUGAAAAAUGAGCAAACUGAACAAAUGUUUUCAGAUUCUUUAGCAGAACAUUUGUGGAUUUCCUUUUUUGUUUUAACAUGUGUUCCUACUACAUUCUUCUUAUUGAAUCCUCCUUUUACUAUAUUUAAUGUAUAAGGUGUUUUAUAGAAAUAGUAUAAUUGUUCUAUUUUUGAUAGCAUAGAAAAUGCAUGAUACUGAUCAAAUACCUUCACACAUACUUUACAGCACCAGAUGACCUCAGAACAGAUGAUCCAGUGGCGUUGCAACAUCUGAUUGAAGGCCUAUUCUUGGGCAUCCAGCAGAAAAAGAGGAAUCUAUAUCGAGUAACCGACCGUAACAAACAGCGACACAAGAUCCGAAGCUGGAUUAGAGAGGAUAAGAAAAAGCUGUUUAAUGCCAUAUCCCAAUACAAUGAUCUUCCAACCACCACAGAAUCUGUAGAUUCAGUCGAAGACCUUCUGGCAACAGAAAGCCCUAUCUGGCCUUGGGAUUCUGAACCUGACACUUCCUUAGGCAUGAAGAAGAAGGUUUUUGACAAGGUGAUGCAGCUGGAGAGACUGAUUGAGGAAGAGGCUAUAAUUUUAGAGGAAAUGAAACAACAUUGGACUCAUCUUACAAGAACCUGCAGGGCCUUGAAGGACCAGGCUAAUGUACUAUCAGAUGACCUGGCCACACAGAACUACCCUUCAGGACUGUCUGGUCAAGCUUACCAUGGCCUGCACAGUGCUGUCCUCCAAAAAUGUGAGGAGCUCAAAACAGACCUGGUACCUGUGAAAGAAACCUACUCCCAAAUAGUGGUAAAUGGGAAUGGUGGAACUGUUGUUGAAGAAGAUGAAGACCCAUACGAGCAUGUCUCCACAGAUGCCUCUACAGAUGAUGAAUUAUAGAUUCUCUCUUCUCCACUGCACAAACUGGUCUCCUGACUCUGAGUAGCUCAAGUUAGCUCUCCCCAUUGUAAAUAAUAAAAACUUGAACCUGAAUUUUCUUUCA